UACAUCAUUAAGACUAAUUAUUCGAGCAGAACUUAGACAACCAGGAAGACUUAUUGGAAACGAUCAGAUUUAUAAUGUUGUAGUUACAGCCCACGCUUUUGUAAUAAUUUUCUUCAUAGUUAUACCUAUCAUAAUUGGAGGAUUUGGUAAUUGACUUGUCCCGCUUAUACUAGGAGCACCAGAUAUAGCUUUCCCUCGUAUAAAUAAUAUAAGAUUUUGACUUCUUCCCCCAUCACUCUCUCUUCUCCUUACUAGAAGAAUGGUAGAAAGUGGGGUGGGUACAGGAUGAACCGUUUAUCCCCCCUUAGCGGCAGCUAUUGCCCAUGCAGGAGCCUCAGUAGAUUUAGGUAUUUUCUCUCUUCACUUAGCUGGUGUUUCAUCUAUUCUAGGAGCAGUGAACUUUAUAACAACAGUGAUUAAUAUACGAUCUCAUGGGAUAACAAUAGACCAAAUACCUCUAUUUGUGUGAGCAGUAUUUAUUACUGCUAUUCUACUUCUACUUUCCCUUCCAGUUUUAGCCGGAGCCAUCACUAUGCUAUUAACUGAUCGUAACUUAAAUACAUCUUUCUUUGACCCAGCAGGGGGAGGAGAUCCUGUUCUAUACCAACAUCUUUUC
rnacentral:rRNA from 1 species